ensembl:lncRNA
GAAAGAGAGAACAACUUGUACAAGAAAGCAGUGUUGGUGGACUUGUGACCUUUUUGUCUGCACUGCUUAGUGGUCUCUGGUUAGUGAAUGUGAGUCAUCUAAAAGGGCUUUGAAUCGCUCUAUCACACAGUUGUCCAUAGGUGAAGGUCAAAUGGUUAGAUUCUUCUUUUCAAGCUGUAGAACAGACAAAGUCAAACUGAUGUGAGUGGAAAGUAUAAAGUGAACACUGCCAGAAAAGUGUUUGUCAAACUCAUUGUACAGCUCUUGAAAAACUGCCAAAACAUAUUUUCUCCCAGAACAUGUUCAGUCUGAAAUCUAUAAAAGUCUUAACGAGUCUUGGUGUUGGGGAAUGUUAUUUUUGUCAUGCUGUAUUACUUUCUGAAGCAGCAUGUACUGUAGAUCAUCACGAGAUUACACGCCAAUAUCAUCUUUAUCAUUUAAAGGCAUAUCCAUUUAAAGUCUUCCCAGAGGCAGUACUUCACUUCACACCCGCCCGACGCUGUGGAAUGUACACACGCAUCUGUACCUACUGUACAUAUCAGUCCAGAGAUACACACACAUGCUCGGUAAAAGUCUUCAUUGAAACCAAGCCAAACAGUACAUGGAGUAAUAUUAUAGCUCUGCUCACAUUCGUAAUUGUGCAAGAAAUGACCUGCUGACAUGGACAUCGCAGCUAUACGAAAUGUAGCUAAUAAAUCCUGGCACACACCUAGACAAGCACACCUCUAAUAAUAAAUCCACUUGUGGUAAUUUAUUAUGGCGUCCAGUGUGUGUGGGUGAAUGUGUGUAUAAGUGUGUUUCAGAUUGUGUCAUUAAAAAUAGUAUUCCAACUGACAACUUUGAUUUAAAUAGUAAGAAAAGCAAUAUAUUUAUUAAUAGUAUAUUAACUGGAAUUAGUAUCAACUUCUAUUUAAAGUUUGUAAAAUGAUAUCAGUGUGUAUGCUCUUUUACUCUAUUUUAGAUGUAUUUUUUCAGGCCAGGUAGAUUCAUGCUCAUGUUCUACUGUCAGGAUAUAACUAGCUAAUACUAACUUUUUCCCCGGGGCUUUUAACUGUAUCACAUGGGCUUUCUCAGCGGGUGGAGUUGGCUCUCUUGUCAUGGAGAGUCUAUUGACUUAUUCAGUAUUUUAUAAUUUAAAUCACAGCUCUUAUUCAGUUUUUUUAUUCAUCUCGUUCUGCACUCAUUCAUGUCCCAUUAAUGCAUGUUACUAACUUCACUUCUUCCCCGGAGUUCUUGUGCUUUCUCGUCUCGAAGGUUCUCGUGGAUCCUGGUGGAGCCUCCUGCCAUGGUCCUGCUUGACUCCCGCUGCUAAUAUUACUGAUAUUAUUGUUAUUACUACAGUUACUAUUAUUAUUGCUCAUUGUCCCCCAUCGAUGUGGCUGUUGUUGUCGUCAUCAUCAUCUUCUUCAUGUUCACCAUCAUCAUCAUCAUCAUCAUCAUCAAUCACUACUAUUAUUAUUAUUAUUAGUGUAUUAUUAGUAUUAUUAGUGUAGUUGUUGCUACUGUUGUUGCUGUGCACCUUUCUCUCUCUCUCUCUCUCUCUCUCUCUCUCUCUCUCUCUCUCUCUCUCUCUCUAACUGGUCGAGGCAGACGGUGGGAACUGUUGGGUCUCUGUAAAUACUUUUAUAAGGAGUACAGUUUAGACCUGUUGUAUUUGAAAAGUGUCCUGAGAUAACUUCUGUUAU